GCGCCUCGUUAUUCGGUAAUUGUGAUACUGGCGAGAUAAAUUAAGUUAAUGAUUUUAUUGUUAAAAAUUAACAUUUGAGCACUUGGCUACGAACUAAGGGGUCGGAGGUUCGAAUCCUUCCGGGCGCGCCA
rnacentral:tRNA from 1 species